rnacentral:piRNA from 1 species
AUUGGAGUGAGCAUCAUGUGUCU